GAUGAACGCUAGCGGCAGGCCUAACACAUGCAAGUCGAGGGGGAAGUUACUUUCGGGUGACUGAGACCGGCGUACGGGUGCGUAACGCGUAUACAAUCUGCCUUUCACUGGGGGAUAGCCCGAAGAAAUUUGGAUUAAUACCCCAUAGUAUAUAGGGACGGCAUCGUUUUUAUAUUAAAGCUUAGGUGGUGAAAGAUGAGUAUGCGUUCUAUUAGCUAGUUGGAGAGGUAACGGCUCCCCAAGGCGAUGAUAGAUAGGGGCUCUGAGAGGGAUGUCCCCCACACUGGUACUGAGAUACGGACCAGACUCCUACGGGAGGCAGCAGUGAGGAAUAUUGGACAAUGGUCGGAAGACUGAUCCAGCCAUGCCGCGUGCAGGAUGAAGGUCUUAUGGAUUGUAAACUGCUUAUGUAAGGGAAGAAUAAGGGCUACGCGUAGUUUGAUGACGGUACCUUACGAAUAAGCAUCGGCUAACUCCGUG
rnacentral:rRNA from 1 species